CCUACGGGAGGCAGCAGUGGGAAUAUUGCACAAUGGGCGAAAGCCUGAUGCAGCAACGCCGCGUGAAGGAAGAAGGGUUUCGGCUCGUAAACUUCUAUCAACAGGGACGAAAGAAAUGACGGUACCUGAAUAAGAAGCCCCGGCUAACUACGUGCCAGCAGCCGGGGUAAUACGUAGGGGGCAAGCGUUAUCCGGAUUUACUGGGGGUAAAGGGAGCGUAGACGGCAGCGCAAGCCUGGAGUGAAAGGAUGGGGCCCAACCCCAUGACUGCUCUGGGAACUGUGCGGCUAGAGUGCCGGAGGGGUAAGCGGAAUUCCUAGUGUAGCGGUGAAAUGCGUAGAUAUUAGGAGGAACACCAGUGGCGAAGGCGGCUUACUGGACGGUAACUGACGUUGAGGCUCGAAAGCGUGGGGAGCAAACAGGAUUAGAUACCCCUGUAGUC
rnacentral:rRNA from 1 species